AUGUUGACUUCAGCUUCACUGCUGCUGCUGCUGCUGCUGGCUGCUUCCUCGUAUGUGUUCUGUGCUACUGAGCUCAUCCAGCCAGACUCAGUGCUCAUCAGACCAGCAGAGACUCUGAUCAUCACCUAUGUUCAUUGUGAAAUCUCUCUCACUCAGCCGAGUUCAGUGAUGAUAAAGCCAGGAGGAUCUCUGAGCAUCAGCUGUAAAGUAUCUGGUUAUUCAGUUACUGAUAGCAGCUACGCCACAGGUUGGAUUCGACAGCCUGCAGGAAAAGCUCUGGAGUGGGGAGACACUUACCAAAAAGAUUCUCUGAAAAGCAAGUUCAGUAUUUCUAAAGAUUCCUCCAGCAGCUCCGUCACUUUACAAGCUCAGAACAUGCAGCCUGAAGACACAGCUGUGUAUUACUGUGUGAGGAGACCCCACAGUGCUGAAAACAUACCCAAGACCCUUACAAAACACACACACACACACACACACACACACAUGCAGUUCAUAUGCCAACACAUGGAUGGCCUUUAUUAA